UUCUAUGGCGGGCGGUGCGUGGGGAUCGCAAGAUCCGCCGGGCCUUUUCUCCCUGUGAGCCUUUCUGCCUUGGUACGCCAACCCGCACCGUCCGCCACCUUC
rnacentral:antisense_RNA from 1 species